rnacentral:rRNA from 1 species
UUUGAUACUGUUGUUCUUGAGUAUAGUCGGGGGAAGUGGAAUGCGUAAUGUACCGGUGAAAUGCAUAGAUAUUACGCAGAACACCGAUCGCGAAAGCAGCUUCCUAGGCUAUUACUGACACUGAGGCACGAAAGCGUGGGGAGCGAACAGGAUUAGAUACCCUGGUAGUCCACGCCGUAAACGAUGCUCACUCGCUGUUGGCGAUAUAUUGUCAGCAGUUAAGCUAAAGCAUUAAGUGAGCCACCUGGGAAGUACGUCCGCAAGGAUGAAACUCAAAGGAAUUGACGGGGGCCCGCACAACCGGUGGAACAUGUGGUUCAAUUCGAUGAUACGCGAGGAACCUUACCUGGGCUUAAAUGUAGUUUGACUUCCGCCGAAAGGCGGUUUUCCUUCGGGACAAAUUACAAGGUGCUGCACGGCUGUCGUCAGCUCGUGCCGUGAGGUAUCGGGUUAAGUCCCUUAACGAGCGCAACCCCUAUUGUUAGUUACCAACAGGUUAAGCUGGGGACUCUAGCAAAACUGCCAGCGUAAGCUGGAGGAAGGUGGGGAUGACGUCAAGUCAGCAUGGCCCUUAUGUCCAGGGCUACACACGUGUUACAAUGGCCGAUACAAAGGGCAGCCACCACGCGAGUGGGAGCUAAUCCUUAAAAUCGGUCUCAGUUCGGAUCGAAGUCUGCAAUUCGACUUCGUGAAGGUGGAAUCGGUAGUAAUCGCGCAUCAGCAAUGGCGCGGUGAAUACGUUCCCGGGCCUUGUACACACUGCCCGUCAAGCCAUGGAAAUUGGUGUUGCCUGAAGUCCGUAACCAUCCAGGAGC